AUUGAACGCUGGCGGUAGGCCUAACACAUGCAAGUCGAGCGGAAGAACGGAGGUAGCUCCUGGUUACCGUUGUGGACGGGCGCAUAAUUCAUAGGAAUAUCGCAGUCAACGGGGUCUAACGGCCGAAAACGGGUGCUCUUACAGCAUUAGUCCCGAGGACGUACGUGGGUGAGCAUGGGACCUCACGCUAUUAGACGAGGAUAUGUCGGGUUAGCUAGUUGGUUGGGUAAAGGCCUACCAAGGCGACGAUCCGACACUGGUCAGAGAGGAUGAUCAGACACACUGGAACUGAGACACGGUCCAGACUCCUACGGGAGGCCGCAGUGGGGAAUAUUGGACAAAGGGCGAAAGCCUGAUCCAGCCAUGCCGCGUGUGUGAAGAAGGACUUCGGAUUGUAAAGAACUUUAGGUUGGAAAGAAUCGAAACACGUUAAUACCAAGCUGUUAUGACGAUACCCAGAGAAUAAGCACCGGCUAACUUCGUG
rnacentral:rRNA from 1 species